UAACAAUGAUUUCCCUAGUAACGGCGAGUGAAGAGGAAAGAGCUCAAAGUUGGAACCUGUUUGGCUUAGCUAAACCGGAUUGUAAACUGUAGAAACAUUUUCCAGAUACACUAGACAAAAAAGUCCUUUGGAACAGGGCAUCAUAGAGGGUGAGAAUCCCGUCUUUGGUCUAAGUAGUUGUCUAUUGUGAUAUGUUUUCAAAGAGUCAGGUUGUUUGGGAAUGCAGCCUAAAUUGGGUGGUAAAUCUCACCUAAAGCUAAAUAUUUGCGAGAGACCGAUAGCGAACAAGUACCGUGAGGGAAAGAUGAAAAGAACUUUGAAAAGAGAGUUAAACAGUAUGUGAAAUUGUUAAAAGGGAACCGUUUGGAGCCAGACUGGCUUGAUUGUAAUCAACCUAGAAUUCGUUUUGGGUGCACUUGCAGUCUAUGCCUGCCAACGACAGUUUGAUUUGGAGGAAAAAAUUAAUAGGAAUGUGGCCUCUCGAGGUGUUAUAGCCUAUUAUCAUACUCUGGAUUGGACUGAGGAACGCAGUGAAUGCCUUUAGGCAAGAUUGCUGGGCGCUUUCGCUAAUAAAUGUUAGAAUUUCUGCUUCGGGUGGUGCUAAUGUUUAAAGGAGGAACUCGUUUAGUAUAUUUUUUAUUCGCUUAGGUUGUUGGCUUAAUGACUCUAAAUGACCCGUCUUGAAACACGGACCAA
rnacentral:rRNA from 1 species